rnacentral:rRNA from 1 species
AUUGAACGCUGGCGGCAUGCCUCACACAUGCAAGUCGAACGGUAACAGGUCUUCGGAUGCUGACGAGUGGCGAACGGGUGAGUAAUGCAUCGGAACGUGCCCAGUUGUGGGGGAUAACUGCUCGAAAGAGCAGCUAAUACCGCAUACGACCUGAGGGUGAAAGCGGGGGAUCGCAAGACCUCGCGCAAUUGGAGCGGCCGAUGUCAGAUUAGGUAGUUGGUGGGAUAAAAGCUUACCAAGCCGACGAUCUGUAGCUGGUCUGAGAGGACGACCAGCCCCACUGGGACUGAGACACGGCCCAGACUCCUACGGGAGGCAGCAGUGGGGAAUUUUGGACAAUGGGCGCAAGCCUGAUCCAGCCAUGCCGCGUGCAGGAUGAAGGCCUUCGGGUUGUAAACUGCUUUUGUACGGAACGAAAAGACUCUGGUUAAUACCUGGGGUCCAUGACGGUACCGUAAGAAUAAGCACCGGCUAACUACGUGCCAGCCGCCGCAGUAACAC